GGUAUAGCUCAAAGGUAGAGUGCUUGCCUAGCAUGUGUGAGGCCCUGGGUUUGAUCCUCAGCACCA
rnacentral:tRNA from 1 species